CCAAGUCGUGAGGCGGAGCUAAUCCCUUAAAGCCAUUCUCAGUUCGGAUUGUAGGCUGAAACUCGCCUACAUGAAGCUGGAGUUACUAGUAAUCGCAGAUCAGAAUGCUGCGGUGAAUGCGUUCCCGGGUCUUGUACACACCGCCCGUCACACCACGGAAGUUGGGGGCGCCCGAAGCCACUUAGCUAACCCUUUUGGGAAGCGAGUGUCGAAGGUGAAAUCAAUAACUGGGGUGAAGUCGUAACAAGGUAAC
rnacentral:rRNA from 1 species